rnacentral:rRNA from 1 species
CUAGGUGUGGGUCCAUUCCACGGGGUCCGUGCCGCAGCUAACGCAUUAAGCGCCCCGCCUGGGGAGUACGGCCGCAAGGCUAAAACUCAAAGGAAUUGACGGGGGCCCGCACAAGCGGCGGAGCAUGCGGAUUAAUUCGAUGCAACGCGAAGAACCUUACCAAGGCUUGACAUACACCGGAUCGCGCUGGAGACAGUGUUUCCCUUCGGGGCUGGUGUACAGGUGGUGCAUGGUUGUCGUCAGCUCGUGUCGUGAGAUGUUGGGUUAAGUCCCGCAACGAGCGCAACCCUUGUCCUAUGUUGCCAGCACGUAGUGGUGGGGACUCAUGGGAGACUGCCGGGGUCAACUCGGAGGAAGGUGGGGAUGACGUCAAAUCAUCAUGCCCCUUAUGUCUUGGGCUUCACGCACGCUACAAUGGCUGGUACAGUGGGUUGCGAUACCGUGAGGUGGAGCUAAUCCCUGAAAGCUGGUCUCAGUUCGGAUCGAAGUCUGCAACUCGACUUCGUGAAGUUGGAGUCGCUAGUAAUCGCAGAUCAGCAAUGCUGCGGUGAAUACGUUCCCGGGCCUUGUACACACCGCC